UCCGUAGGUGAACCUGCGGAGGGAUCAUUACCGAGUUUACAACUCCCAAACCCCUGUGAACAUACCUAUUUGUUGCCUCGGCGGUGCCUGUUCCGACAGCCCGCCAGAGGACCCCAAACCCUGAUUACAUUUAAGAAGUCUUCUGAGUAAACCGAUUAAAUAAAUCAAAACUUUCAACAACGGAUCUCUUGGUUCUGGCAUCGAUGAAGAACGCAGCGAAAUGCGAUAAGUAAUGUGAAUUGCAGAAUUCAGUGAAUCAUCGAAUCUUUGAACGCACAUUGCGCCCGCUAGUAUUCUGGCGGGCAUGCCUGUCCGAGCGUCAUUUCAACCCUCAAGCCCCCGGGCUUGGUGUUGGGGAUCGGCGAGCCUCCGCGCCCGCCGUCCCCUAAAUCUAGUGGCGGUCUCGCUGUAGCUUCCUCUGCGUAGUAGCACACCUCGCACUGGGAAACAGCGCGGCCACGCCGUUAAACCCCCAACUUCUGAACGUUUGACCUCGGAUCAGGUAGGAAUACCCGCUGAACUUAAGCAUAUCAAUAAGCGGAGGA
rnacentral:rRNA from 1 species